rnacentral:ncRNA from 1 species
AUGAACGUAGUGGCAGAGAAAGUACAAUAUUAUCAUUCUGUGACUGAACAAUUAAAAAAAUUGACAGGGGCCAAACAGGUCACCUAUGAUGGUUUCCCCACCGGUAUGAGAGGGAAUGGCGUAAAAUCAAUGACAAGCUUUUAUUACAUCUUGGGAUGUUGAACUACAGGCAAGGACAAACAACUAGACUGUUCAAUCAGAGAGUCCUGCUGUACCCACAUCUUGGGAUGUUGAACUACAGGCAAGGACAGACAACUAGACUGUUCAAUCAGAGAGUCCUGCUGUACUCCACAGAUGAUAUCAACAUCUUUGCCAGCAUAAGGAAGAGUGCUGGCAACCCUGCUGAUACCAAGCUCGAUCGUACUCCAAGGCGUCAUGUAGAAAUUUCCUAACAACUAUACCCCUUAAUUCAUGACUGCGUUCACUGAACAUGGCAAACUGGGUUGGAUGGGCCAUCUGGAGUAUGGCACUCCCCAAAUAACCUGAAAAAGAAACCAGUGGAGAGGGGUUCAAAUAGCCAAAUGCCUCACCAUCUAAUUAGAGAUGCACAUGAAUGGAUGAAUGAGACUCCCACUCUACCCAGCUACUGUCCAGCGAAACCACAGCCAAGGGAACAGGCUUGGCAGAAUCAGCAAGGAAACAAGAGUUUGUUGAGCUUGAUUCUAAUCUGGCACUGUGAAGAGACAGGAGAGGUGUAAAAUAAGUGAGAGGCCUCUGGGCUGCUGAUGAAAUACCACUACUAAUCAUUUUUUUCACUUUACGUGGUGAGGUGAGGUGGGGCAAGCCCCGAAGUGCUCUUGCUCCUGGCUCCAAAUGUCCGGUGUGUGCUGGGCACAAAGAGCUCCAGGGGCAGUGUCAGCUGGGGAGUUUGACUGGGCCAAUACACCUGUCAAACUAUAACACUGAUGUCCUAAAGUGAGGUCAGGAAGGACAGACAUCUCCUGUAGACCAAAAGGGCAAAAAAACUCACUUGAUCUUGAUUUGAAGUAUGAAUACAGACUGUGAAAGCAGGGCCUCAUGAUUCUUCUGACUUUUUGUGUUUUAAGCAGGAGGUGUCAGAAAAGUUACCACAGGGAUAACUGGCUUGAGAUGUCCCAGGCAUUCAUAGCAACAUGAUAUUUUGAGGAUAGGCAGCGACUUCCCUGCUUUCCCCUGGGUGCUCAACCCCCGCUCUGCCCCGGCCCCACCUCCCCACCUCCUCCCCUGAGUAUGCCACGUUCCUGCUCCUCCCCCUCCCUCCCAGAGCGUGCAAACAGCUGUUUGGCAGCGGCCGGGUGGGAAACGCUGGGAGGUAAGCGGAGGAGCAGGAAGCAGCACACUAUGGGGGGGAGGAGGAGGAAAAGGAGGAGGGGCGGGGAGAGGGGAGCUUGGCUGCCAAUGGGUGCAGAGCACCCACUAAUUUUUCCCUGUGGGUGCUCCAGCCCCGGAGCACCCACAGAGUCAGCGCCUAUGAUUUUGAACCUUCAAUGUUGGCUCUUCCGUACACUGUGAAGCAGAAGUUACCAACUAUUGGAUUAUUCACCCACUAAUAGGGAAUGCGAGUUGGGUUUAGACUGCCAUGAAACAGGUUAGUUUUAGCCUACUGAUGAUGUGUCAUUGCAAUAGUAAUCCUGCUUUGUACAAGAGGAACCACAGGUUCAGAAAUUUGGUGUCUGUGCUUGGCUGAAGAGCUAAUGGGGCAAAGCUGCCAUCUGUGAGAUUAUGACUGAACCCCUCUAAAUCAGAAUUCCCCCUAAACACAAAGAUACAGCAGUAACAUGGAGCCUUGGUAAGCCCUGGACAGCCGACCACCCUUUCUGUGGAAGCAGGGCAUAGUGCAGAGAGCCAUUAGUGUCAGGACUGGAAUGUGGACAGAAGGGAACCGCCUCUCACCCAUAGUCCACCACAUGUUCAUGAUGAUCCUGGUGCUAAAUCAUGUGUAGAUGACCUGAUUAUGGGUCAGGGUUUCAUGUGCAGCAAAGCAGCUAUCUCACUGCAUUCUACUGAAAGUCUGAAUUUGUCUCUAUUA